CCAUUAGUAUCAAGAUGCUUUCCUUGUAUCAACAGCCAAGUGAGGAAACUUGGUGUAUAUCUACACCCAGCACUGUCUCUUCUCACAUCACAGCUACUUCCUAACUAGCAGGUUCGUCAAAUGAUUGUCUGUAUUAGCUCAACAGACACGUGUGUGAAUGUCAAAUACACGUCUAUUUAUAGUGUCAAAGCAUUGCCUGGAGUGAACUCACUGCUACUUAAACAAAAUGCUCACUGCGGAUAAGGGCAAUCCCUGCUCUCAGAUGUGGAAGACAGAACAAGGAAGGCCAUGGAGCUGUGGGACAUGACCUCCAUAGUCAUACAGAGACCUCCACAGCCACAUGGGACGUGACCUCCAUAGUCACACAAAGACCUCCACAGCCACACAGAUGAGACCUCCAUAGUCACAGAUGAGACCUCCAUAGUCACACAGCGACCUCCACAGCCACAUGCGACGUGACCUCCAUAGUCACACGAAGACCUCCAAAGCCACGUGGACGAGACCUCCAUAGUCACACACGACCUCCACAGCCACAUGGGACCAUGGGACGUGACCACCAUAGUCACCCAAAGACCUCCAUAGCCACACAGACGAGACCUCCAUAGUCACAUAGAGACCGCCACAGCCACAUGGACGAGACCUCCAUAGUCACACACGCGACCUCCAGAGCCACACGGACGAGACCUCCAUAGUCAAACAGCGACCUCCACAGCCACAUGGGACGCAACCUCCAUAGUCACACAGAGACCUUCAGAGCCACAUGGAUGAAACCUCCAUAGUCACACAGAGAUCUCCACAGUCACACGGGAUGUGACCUCCAUAGUCACAAAGAGACCUCCACAGCCACACGGACGUGACCUCCAUAGUCACACAAAGACCUCCACAGCCACAUGGACGAGACCUCCACAGUCACACAGCGACCUCCAUAGUCACACAGCGACCUCCACAGCCACAUGGGACAUGAGCUCCAUAAUCACACAGAGACCUCCACAGCCACACAGGACGUGACCCCCAUAAUCACACAGAGACCUUCAGAGCCACAUGGAUGAAACCUCCAUAGUCAAACAGCGACCUCCACAGCCACAUGGGACGCAACCUCCAUAGUCACACAGAGACCUUCAGAGCCACAUGGAUGAAACCUCCAUAGUCACACAGAGAUCUCCACAGUCACACGGGAUGUGACCUCCAUAGUCACAAAGAGACCUCCACAGCCACACGGACGUGACCUCCAUAGUCACACAAAGACCUCCACAGCCACAUGGACGAGACCUCCACAGUCACACAGCGACCUCCAUAGUCACACAGCGACCUCCACAGCCACAUGGGACAUGAGCUCCAUAAUCACACAGAGACCUCCACAGCCACACAGGACGUGACCCCCAUAAUCACACAGAGACCUUCAGAGCCACAUGGAUGAAACCUCCAUAGUCACACAGAGACCUCCACAGCCACACAGGACGUGACCCCCAUAGUCAUACAGAGACCUCCACAGCCACAUGGGACAUGACCUCCAUAGUCACACAGCGACCUCCACAGCCACACAGACGAGACCUCCAUAGUCACACAGCGACCUCCACAGCCACACGGGACGCGACCUCCAUAGUCACACAGAGACCUCCACGGCCACAUGGACGAGACCUCCAUAGUCACACAGAGAUCUCCACAGUCACACGGGACGUGACCUCCAUGGUCACACAAAGACCUCCACAGCCACAUGGACGAGACCUCCACAGUCACACAGCGACCUCCAUAGUCACACAGCGACCUCCACAGUCACAUGGGACAUGAGCUCCAUACUCACACAGAGACCUCCACAGCCACACAGGACGUGACCCCCAUAGUCACACAGAGACCUCCACAGCCACAUGGGACAUGACCUCCAUAGUCACACAGCGACCUCCACAGCCACACAGACGAGACCUCCAUAGUCACACAGCGACCUCUACAGCCACAUGGGACUCGACCUCCAUAGUCACACAGAGACCUCCACAGCCACAUGGGACAUGACCUCCAUAGUCACACAAAGACCUCCACAGCCACGUGGACAAGACCUCCAUAGUCACACACGACCUCCACAGCCACAUGGGACCAUGGGACGCGACCUCCAUAGUCACACAGAGACCUCCACGGCCACAUGGACGAGACCUCCAUAGUCACACAGCAACCUCCAUAGUCACACAGCAACCUCCAUAGUCACACAGCGACCUCCACAGCCACACGGGACGCGACCUCCACAGUCACACAGGAUGCAACCUCCACAGUCACACAGCAACCUCCACAGUCACAUAGACAAGACGUCCACAGCCACAAAGGACGAGA
rnacentral:lncRNA from 1 species